rnacentral:rRNA from 1 species
AGAGUUGAUUAUGGCUCAGGAUGAACGCUAGCUACAGGCUUAACACAUGCAAGGUCGAGGGGCAGCAGAUCGAAAGCUUGCUUUGAUGCUGGCGACCGGCGCACGGGUGAGUAACGCGUAUCCAACCUUCCCUGUAGUAGAGGAUAGCCCGGCGAAAGUCGGAUUAAUACUCUAUGUUUUCCAAUGCAGACAUCUAAGUUGGAACAAAGGUUCACCGCUAUAGGAUGGGGAUGCGUCUGAUUAGAUAGUAGGCGGGGUAACGGCCCACCUAGUCGACGAUCAGUAGGGGUUCUGAGAGGAAGGUCCCCCACAUUGGAACUGAGACACGGUCCAAACUCCUACGGGAGGCAGCAGUGAGGAAUAUUGGUCAAUGGGCGAGAGCCUGAACCAGCCAAGUAGCGUGCAGGAAGACGGCCCUAUGGGUUGUAAACUGUCUUUUAUCGGGGGAUAAAGUGAGGGACGUGUCCCUUAUUGUAGGUACCCGAUGAAUAAGGACCGGCUAAUUCCGUGCCAGCCGCAGC